rnacentral:lncRNA from 1 species
AGAAAGAGUGCUGCAAAGCACUGUUGAAAAGCUGCACGUAGAACUGAAGGACUGGUUUUAGCCACGUGCUCUCGGAUUAAAACUAGGACCUGUUUAUCACUGAAGAGAAGUGCCCAUCUGAGGUUCUUCCUAACAACACAGGGGGCAGAGACAAGAUUUCUGAUGAACCUUUCAGUACAAGCACUUUGAUACUACCUAUUAGCCAACAGAUUUCACCGCAACAGACCUAGGUAAAUUCUCAGAACUUUCCAGCUGGAGAUGCACGCUACUAACCGAUGCAGAGCGAGAUGAAAGGUUUGGGUGCUGGGAGACAUUUUGUAGUAUUCACCAGGUGCUCACGCAAAAACCCAGAAACCAGGCAGAGGCUUUGGGAGGCCCCAGUCAUGUCUCAUUGGCAAAAUGUAUUCCCAUGAGGCUCAUGCAACUCAAACUCAGCUGCCCCACGGCAUUGCUGCACAAAGAGGAGAGGCUCCAGCCACACAGCUUGUAA